UGUUGCUCGGUGUACGAGUGUGAGCCAUAGUGACCGCACCUGCUUCCGCCAUCACCUUCUGUGCUAUGCCUCCUAGACGCCGAAGACGUGAGGAAACCCCUCCUGUUGAUGAUGGGGGAGAUACACCGCAGAAUCUUGCAGAUGCGUUUGGACAGUUCUUUCAGCAGUUUGCUGCCGUACUCCCCGGUUCACGCACUGACUAUACUGUGGAGCGUGCUAAGAGAAACGGGGCUCAGACUUUUGCUUCCGCCACAUCACCUGUAGAGGCUCAGCGGUGGCUUGAUAGGAUGGAGAGAGUGUUCUCCCAGAUGGAGCUCCCAGAGGACAGGAAGGUUAAUUUGGCGGUGCAGUUCCUGGAGGAUACCGCCUGGCAUUGGUGGACUGGUGUUGUCAAUGACCCUGCAAAUGCUGGCCCGAUGACGUGGGAUAUGUUCAAGGCCCAUUUCUGUGGACGGUACUUUAGUGAUGCCCACCUUAAUCGGAUGCAAGACCAGUUCUUGAGCUUGGUGAAGAGGGAUGAGCAGUCAGUGUUGGAGUUUGAGCAGGAGUUUCUCUCUUUGGCCCAUCAUGUGCCGGAUUUGGUUCGUACUGAGCAAAGUAAGAUUCGUAGAUUUGUCUUGGGACUUGGAGGAAAGUUUAAGGAUAAGAUGUUAGGCACACCGUACCGUAGCUUUGCUGAGGCGAUAUCUUAUGCCAUGGACAUUGAGUCAGACUCACCUGCUGGAUUUCACCCUAGGGAUUCUGGCGGCCCUAGCCAGGGUCCAUCUAAGAGGGCUGCUUCCACUUCUGGUUCAGGAUCUUCUGGAGGUAGUAGAUUUGUCAGUUCAGACUCGACCACCUUACCGGAUUUUGGAGGACUUAAUGUGGGAGGUGGACAGUCUGACUGGCAGUUCAGUGUCAGCACAGGUCAGUACGGUGGUACCUCAGAGGGAUUCCAUACUUGGAGGGAUCGUUCCCAGCAUCAAACGAGAGAUGUGACGUGCUAUCAGUGCGGACAGCAGGGUCAUUAUAGAAGGGAUUGCCCUACAUUGACUCAGGACGCUACUCCAAACGUCGGUCAAGGUUCUAGUCAUGCAUCAGGAGGGUUAUCUAGCGGCACUCACACUAAUUCAACCAAGGGCGACACUUCCACCAGUUCUGCCAGGGGCGGCACUCAACGGAGUAGUGGUCGUCGUGGACGUCCAGCGACACAAACAAGACUUCAUGCCAUGGUUCAGCGAGAGGAUCACGUUCCUCUAGGUACUACCGACGAUUGCAGUACUGUUGCUCGGUGUACGAGUGUGAGCCAUAGUGACCGCACCUGCUUCCGCCAUCACCUUCUGUGCUAUGCCUCCUAGACGCCGAAGACGUGAGGAAACCCCUCCUGUUGAUGAUGGGGGAGAUACACCGCAGAAUCUUGCAGAUGCGUUUGGACAGUUCUUUCAGCAGUUUGCUGCCGUACUCCCCGGUUCACGCACUGACUAUACUGUGGAGCGUGCUAAGAGAAACGGGGCUCAGACUUUUGCUUCCGCCACAUCACCUGUAGAGGCUCAGCGGUGGCUUGAUAGGAUGGAGAGAGUGUUCUCCCAGAUGGAGCUCCCAGAGGACAGGAAGGUUAAUUUGGCGGUGCAGUUCCUGGAGGAUACCGCCUGGCAUUGGUGGACUGGUGUUGUCAAUGACCCUGCAAAUGCUGGCCCGAUGACGUGGGAUAUGUUCAAGGCCCAUUUCUGUGGACGGUACUUUAGUGAUGCCCACCUUAAUCGGAUGCAAGACCAGUUCUUGAGCUUGGUGAAGAGGGAUGAGCAGUCAGUGUUGGAGUUUGAGCAGGAGUUUCUCUCUUUGGCCCAUCAUGUGCCGGAUUUGGUUCGUACUGAGCAAAGUAAGAUUCGUAGAUUUGUCUUGGGACUUGGAGGAAAGUUUAAGGAUAAGAUGUUAGGCACACCGUACCGUAGCUUUGCUGAGGCGAUAUCUUAUGCCAUGGACAUUGAGUCAGACUCACCUGCUGGAUUUCACCCUAGGGAUUCUGGCGGCCCUAGCCAGGGUCCAUCUAAGAGGGCUGCUUCCACUUCUGGUUCAGGAUCUUCUGGAGGUAGUAGAUUUGUCAGUUCAGACUCGACCACCUUACCGGAUUUUGGAGGACUUAAUGUGGGAGGUGGACAGUCUGACUGGCAGUUCAGUGUCAGCACAGGUCAGUACGGUGGUACCUCAGAGGGAUUCCAUACUUGGAGGGAUCGUUCCCAGCAUCAAACGAGAGAUGUGACGUGCUAUCAGUGCGGACAGCAGGGUCAUUAUAGAAGGGAUUGCCCUACAUUGACUCAGGACGCUACUCCAAACGUCGGUCAAGGUUCUAGUCAUGCAUCAGGAGGGUUAUCUAGCGGCACUCACACUAAUUCAACCAAGGGCGACACUUCCACCAGUUCUGCCAGGGGCGGCACUCAACGGAGUAGUGGUCGUCGUGGACGUCCAGCGACACAAACAAGACUUCAUGCCAUGGUUCAGCGAGAGGAUCACGUUCCUCUAGGUACUACCGACGGACGUGAUACCGACCUAUCGCUCGACGAGGAUCCUUACGCUUGGAUACCACGUUAGCCGUA